UACGUAGGGGGCAAGCGUUGUCCGGAAUCAUUGGGCGUAAAGAGCGUGUAGGCGGUCCGAUAAGUCGGCUGUGAAAGUCAAGGGCUCAACCCUUGAAUGCCGGCCGAUACUGUCGGGCUAGAGUCCGGAAGAGGCGAGUGGAAUUCCUGGUGUAGCGGUGAAAUGCGCAGAUAUCAGGAGGAACACCAAUGGCGAAGGCAGCUCGCUGGGACGGUACUGACGCUGAGACGCGAAAGCGUGGGGAGCAAACAGG
rnacentral:rRNA from 1 species